rnacentral:lncRNA from 1 species
UUUUUCUACACUGCCUAUUCAAAAACAGUAGGAAUUGGGGCUGAAAUUCAGGUAAGCCAGGACAGAGAGUAUGUCAGGAAUGCUUUCCUCCCGGCUUGACAGUUAGAGGCUUUAGGACAGGAGUGGAUGUCUUCCCUAGGGCAGCCCCAAGGACUUCAGGCCCCAAGCCUUCCAAAGUGUGGCCCCCAGAUCUACAUUAUCUUAGGCACUUGCUAAAGGUAUAAAUUUGGGGGCCCAUCCUGGGCUUGCUGUAUAUAUCAGAAACUGGGGUUGGACCCAGACAUCCAUUUUGAUAAGCCCUCCAGUGAUCCUGAUGAAGCUGGAGUACUGUGUACCAUGAUCUGGGAAGUGCUGCUGCAGCAAUUCCUACUGACUAGAGUUAUGGGUUCACAGAAAUUGAACUGACCAGUUCAGAAGCCUUUGGAGCUGGUUUCUGGGAGGAGAUCAGAAAAGUUUAGAGGUGCAGGCUGGGAAAGCUUUAGCAUGUUGUAAGAGAAGCUUAGUAGAUGAUUCUGGUAGAAGUUCAGAAAUCUAGAAUGCUGAUAGGAAUGUAGACUGUACUCAUGGAGGGAAAUAAGGACUCUAUUGGAAUUAAACUAGAGGCCAUUCUUUACAUUCUGGCACAGGAAAUUUCAAGGCCACACAGUAGUUAGGAGGGGGCAUGGUUAUUUCUAUCUUUUAGCCAGGUUUACUAUAAGAAUCAGGAGCAGAAAGCAGAGCAAAAGGACUGUAAAAAAUUUGCUUGUCCAGAAAAAUACAUAUAAAACUGGGCCAAGACAGUUGUGAUUACAGCCACUAAACAGAUACUAAUUACUUUGCUCAGAGACAUAGGAAAAAUGGCUUAAAGGCAUCAGAAAUUUGCAAGACCAUACUCACUGAAAGUCAAGGAUGUAGAAGGGAAAAUUCCUUUGAGAAAAAAUUGUGGGGCAUCUUGCUCACACAGGGGGCCUCGGAAGUUGUUUCACCUUGCUCAGCUGCACAGGCCCUCAUGAUUUCAGGGGGCUCAACUACCGUGCAAGCUGGCAGCAGACAUUAAAGUCAUCCACAUGGUGCUGAUUCUGCAGUAAUGCAGAGUGCUG